rnacentral:rRNA from 1 species
CCUACGGGGUGCAGCAGUGAGGAAUAUUGGUCAAUGGACGAGAGUCUGAACCAGCCAAGUAGCGUGAAGGAUGACUGCCCUAUGGGUUGUAAACUUCUUUUAUAUGGGAAUAAAAUGUUCCACGUGUGGGAUUUUGUAUGUACCAUAUGAAUAAGGAUCGGCUAACUCCGUGCCAGCAGCCGCGGUAAUACGGAGGAUCCGAGCGUUAUCCGGAUUUAUUGGGUUUAAAGGGAGCGUAGGUGGAUUGUUAAGUCAGUUGUGAAAGUUUGCGGCUCAACCGUAAAAUUGCAGUUGAAACUGGCAGUCUUGAGUACAGUAGAGGUGGGCGGAAUUCGUGGUGUAGCGGUGAAAUGCUUAGAUAUCACGAAGAACUCCGAUUGCGAAGGCAGUUCACUGGACUGCAACUGACACUGAGGCUCGAAGGUGUGGGUAUCAAACAGGAUUAGAUACCCCUGUAGUC